rfam:Triticum urartu cultivar G1812 contig780516, whole genome shotgun sequence.
CACGUACUCCCUCCGUUCGGAAACACUCAUCAUUGAAAUGGAUGUAUCUAGAUGUAUUUUAGUUCUAGAUACAUCCAUUUUGGUGACAAGUAAUUCCGAACAGAGGGAGUAAUAG